rnacentral:rRNA from 1 species
AACGAACGCUGGCGGCAUGCCUAACACAUGCAAGUCGAACGAGACCUUCGGGUCUAGUGGCGCACGGGUGCGUAACGCGUGGGAACCUGCCCUUAGGUUCGGAAUCACUCACCGAAAGGGGUGCUAAUACCGGUUAAUGUCUUCGGACCAAAGAUUUAUCGCCUUUGGAUGGGGCCGCGUUGGCUUCGCUGGUUGGUAGUGUAAAAGCCUAUCAUUGAGACGAUGCAUAGCUGGUCUGAGAGGAUGACCAGGCCCGAUUGGACUGCGACACGGCCCAGACUGGGAGGGAAGGCAGGAGUGUGGAAUAUUGGGCGAUGGGCGAAAACGUAACCCAGCAACGUGGCGGAAGUGAGGAAGCGCUUAGGGUUGUAAAUCUGUCUGAGACGAGAUGAGAAUGACAGUACCGGGUGAAGAAGCACCGGCUAACUCCGUG